AGGGAAGGGAACCCAGUCUUCCAUCAGCUGGUGUCAGCACUCCUGCUGUAUUCAUUCCAUUUAAAACAGAUUCAGAUGAGGCAUUGUUUUGUCCUCCUUCUCACCAUCCUUUUUUCAAAAAAGUUGAGUUUCCACACAGAAAUGAACGUAAACCACAAGGACCACGGCCCAUGAUUAGAGCAUGGAAGCUGCCGUAAUGCCCUAGUAGGAUGGCCUUGGCCUUGACCUUGACCUGGGUCAAGGUCAUUCUAAGGUCAAUCUCAUAUUAGCAUUAGUUUUAUGCCUGAGAAUAAAUAAGACUCAUUCAUAAAUGUAUGUCUUGUCAAAGUGCCAUUUACUUAUUGUUUUUAGGAGCAAUGUUAAAGAAGUUAGGUAUCCUCGAAGUUUUGCACUUUGACAAUUAGCCAAAAUACUUGAAGGUAUCCUGUUUAAGAUUAGUACAGUUAUGAAGAGUUAUAAUAGAGUGUUGGAGGUAACAGGUUGUAAGAUGCACUUAUAGCAAAUGAGAAAAAUUGACAAAACUGCACACAGUUUCAAUCUGUUAUGUGUUCUUGUUCAGUGUAGGUAAUUGUAUCACAUGUUCAGAGGAAAAAACUUUGAGGCUGCUUUUGAGUGCAAAAUCCUACAUGUUUUUGAAACUCAUGUUGCAGUGCACUUCUUGAAUGUACUAUGUUGUUUGUGCUAUUUUUGUGCCAUAUUAGAAGUACAUUUUUGAGUAGUAAAGCUCAUUCUUAUUCUUGUAUAUUUAUGAACAGUAAAAUGUCUUUUCUCUAAAUGUUUAAAUGGCUUUGUAAAGCUUUGAGCUGCUUGAUGCUAAAACAAUAUCCUAAGAAAUAUUCUUACUGUUAAUCAUACAU